rnacentral:rRNA from 1 species
UGGGGAAUCUUGGACAAUGGGCGCAAGCCUGAUCCAGCCAUGCCGCGUGAGUGAUGAAGGCCUUAGGGUUGUAAAGCUCUUUUUGCCGGGGACGAUAAUGACGGUACCCGGAGAAUAAGUCCCGGCUAACUUCGUGCCAGCAGCCGCGGUAAUACGAAGGGGACUAGCGUUGUUCGGAAUCACUGGGCGUAAAGCGCACGUAGGCGGAUUUGUAAGUCAGGGGUGAAAUCCCGGGGCUCAACCUCGGAACUGUCUUUGAUACUGCGGAUCUCGAGUCCGAUAGAGGUGAGUGGAAUUCCUAGUGUAGAGGUGAAAUUCGUAGAUAUUAGGAAGAACACCGGUGGCGAAGGCGGCUCACUGGAUCGGUACUGACGCUGAGGUGCGAAAGCGUGGGGAGCAAACAGGAUUAGAUACCCCGGUAGUCCCUGAGCGGGCUGGCAAGGCGCAU